rnacentral:guide_RNA from 1 species
GGCAAUCGUGGAUUAGUAUAGUGAUGUAAAGUGAAUAU